rnacentral:rRNA from 1 species
UACAGAGGGUGCAAGCGUUGUUCGGAAUUAUUGGGCGUAAAGCGCGUGUAGGCGGCUUUGCAAGCCGGGUGUGAAAGCCCUCAGCUCAACUGAGGAAGUGCGCCCGAAACUGCAGAGCUUGAGUGCCGGAGAGGGUGGCGGAAUUCCCCAAGUAGAGGUGAAAUUCGUAGAUAUGGGGAGGAACACCGGUGGCGAAGGCGGCCACCUGGACGGCAACUGACGCUGAGACGCGAAAGCGUGGGUAGCAAACAGG